rnacentral:rRNA from 1 species
GAUGAACGCUGGCGGCGUGCUUAACACAUGCAAGUCUAGCGAGAAGUUUUGAAAAGAUUCUUCGGAUGAAAUUUAAAAUGGAAAGCGGCGGACGGGCGAGUAACGCGUAGGCAACCUGCCCCAUACAAAGGGAUAGCAUUUGGAAACGAAUAUUAAUACCUUAUGAAACUUAACUAGUGCAUGCUAGGUAGGUCAAAGAUUUAUCGGUAUGGGAUGGGCCUGCGUCUGAUUAGCUAGUUGGUGAGGUAACGGCUCACCAAGGCGACGAUCAGUAGCCGACCUGAGAGGGUGAACGGCCACAUUGGAACUGAGACACGGUCCAAACUCCUACGGGAGGCAGCAGUGGGGAAUAUUGCACAAUGGGGGAAACCCUGAUGCAGCAACGCCGCGUGAACGAUGAAGGCCUUUGGGUCGUAAAGUUCUGUUCUAGGUGAUGAAAACUGACAGUAACCUAGGAGAAAGCCCCGGCUAACUCCGUG